rnacentral:rRNA from 1 species
GGAGUUAGUGGCGGACGGGUGAGUAACACGUGGGAACGUGCCUUUAGGUUCGGAAUAACUCAGGGAAACUUGUGCUAAUACCGAAUGUGCCCUUCGGGGGAAAGAUUUAUCGCCUUUAGAGCGGCCCGCGUCUGAUUAGCUAGUUGGUGAGGUAAAGGCUCACCAAGGCGACGAUCAGUAGCUGGUCUGAGAGGAUGAUCAGCCACAUUGGGACUGAGACACGGCCCAAACUCCUACGGGAGGCAGCAGUGGGGAAUCUUGCGCAAUGGGCGAAAGCCUGACGCAGCCAUGCCGCGUGAAUGAUGAAGGUCUUAGGAUUGUAAAAUUCUUUCACCGGGGACGAUAAUGACGGUACCCGGAGAAGAAGCCCCGGCUAACUUCGUGCCAGCAGCCGCGGUAAUACGAAGGGGGCUAGCGUUGCUCGGAAUUACUGGGCGUAAAGGGAGCGUAGGCGGACAUUUAAGUCAGGGGUGAAAUCCCGGGGCUCAACCUCGGAAUUGCCUUUGAUACUGGGUGUCUUGAGUAUGAGAGAGGUGUGUGGAACUCCGAGUGUAGAGGUGAAAUUCGUAGAUAUUCGGAAGAACACCAGUGGCGAAGGCGACACACUGGCUCAUUACUGACGCUGAGGCUCGAAAGCGUGGGGAGCAAACAGGAUUAGAUACCCUGGUAGUCCACGCCGUAAACGAUGAUUGCUAGUUGUCGGGAUGCAUGCAUUUCGGUGACGCAGCUA